GACGAACGCUGGCGGCGUGCCUAAUACAUGCAAGUAGAACGCACAGUUUAUACCGUAGCUUGCUACACCAUAAACUGUGAGUUGCGAACGGGUGAGUAACGCGUAGGUAACCUGCCUGGUAGCGGGGGAUAACUAUUGGAAACGAUAGCUAAUACCGCAUAAUAUUAAUUAUUGCAUGAUAAUUGAUUGAAAGAUGCAACUGCAUCACUACCAGAUGGAUCUGCGUUGUAUUAGCUAGUAGGUGAGGUAACGGCUCACCUAGGCGACGAUACAUAGCCGACCUGAGAGGGUGAUCGGCCACACUGGGACUGAGACACGGCCCAGACUCCUACGGGAGGCAGCAGUAGGGAAUCUUCGGCAAUGGACGAAAGUCUGACCGAGCAACGCCGCGUGAGUGAAGAAGGUUUUCGGAUCGUAAAGCUCUGUUGUAAGAGAAGAACGGGUGUGAGAGUGGAAAGUUCA
rnacentral:rRNA from 1 species